CGCAGGCUCCGACCAGGCCGCCAACACCAGUAAGCUACAGGGGGGCGCUUUACCACUGCCUGUGCUACUACUACCGGCGCGACUUCCCAGCCUGCAACGUAGGGCGCAGCAAGGGCCUGACGCUGAGCGAGCAGGCGCUGCACACCAAGCGGUUGUCGCCGGGCGGGCACAAACAGAUGGUCAGGCAAAAGCUCCUCAAUGGCCACUGCAAGCCAGCUAGCUCCGGCUGCAGCCGUUGCCGCACACUCGCCUCACCUCAGCCUGGACAGUCAAGGUGAUGUGAUCCGGCCCCUGUGGAAGCAGGUGGAGUUGCUCUUCAACACAAGAUACGGUCAGACAAGGGCGGCAUGUCUGAAGACUGUGGGCCAGGAACCUCCGGGGAGCUGGGUUGGCUGAGGCCGAUCAAAAUUGAGCCAGAGGAUCUGGACAUCAUUGCAGUCACUGUCCCAGACCCCUCACCAACAUCUGGGGAAAUGACAGACUCGAUGCCUGGGCACCUGCCACCGGAGGAUUCUGGUUAUGGGAUGGAGAUGCUGACAGACGGAAUCUCACCCUGUUGCCCAGGCUGGAGUGCAGUGGCAUGACCUCACUGCAACCUCCACCUCCUGGGUUCUGGCGAUUCUCUUGUCUCAGCUUCCCGAGUAGCUGGGAUUACAGGCGCCUGCUACCACGCCUGGCUAAUUUUUAUAUGUCUAAUACAGACAGGGCUUCACCGUGUUGGCCAGGCUGGUCUUGAACUCCUGACCUUAAGCGAUCCGCCCACCUCGGCCUCCCAAAGAACAGGGAUUAUAGGCAUGAGCCACUGUGCCCAGCCCCCCAUGUUCUUGUAUCCCAUGUCACAAAAUCCCCAUGUCCUAAGACCUACUUUACAGAUGAGGAGUACUGAGGCCUGAUAAAGGGGUGUGACUCAUCCAAGGCCCCACACCACUCAGUGGCAGAGAUCAGGCUCAUUCCAGGGCAUGAGUGUUGGUGUUGUAUACAUGAGGUACCUGGUCAGAGCUAGGAGCAGUUCCCACUGCUAAGGGAAAUUACAAGGCUUUGUUUUUAUUACACACCCUGCUGCUUUCCACAAAGGUUUUAAGACUGGGAACUGAGCCUCCUCUAUCUGAACAAGUAGAAUAGAGGCCUGAAAGCACAAAAUUGGCUUUGUGUCCAGCAGACACACCCAUUUUCAGAAAGACAGUCAAGAUGACGUGAUCUGGCCCCUGCGGAAGCAAGUGGAGCUGCUCUUCAACACAUGAUAUGCCAAGGCCAUUGGCAUCUCGGAGCCCGUCAAGGUGCUGUACUCCAAGUUUCUGAUGCACCUGGAGGAGCUGUUUGUGGUGGGGUUGUCUGAAGGCAUCUCCCUCCGCAGGCCCAGCUGCUUCGGGAUCGCCAAGCUCUGGAAGAUUCUGGAGGCCAGCAACAGCAUCCAGUUUGUGAUCAAGAGGCCUGAGCUGCUCACUGAGGGAGUCAAAGAGCCCAUCGCUGACAGUCAAGAUGGAGUGUCGCUUUGUCGCCUAGGCUGGAGUACAGUGGCAUGAUCUUGGCUCACUGCAACCUCCACUUCCCAGUUCAAGUAGUAAUUCUCAUGCCUCAGCCUCCUGAGUAGCUGGGAUUACAGGCAUGCACCGCCAUGCCCGGCUAAUUUUUGUGUUUUUAGUAGAGACAGGGUUUUACCAUGUUGGCCAGGCUGGUCUCGAACUCCCAACCUCAGGUGAUCCACUCACCUCAGCCUCCCAAAGUGCUGAGAUUACAGGUGUGAGCCACCAUGCCCAGCCCUCUAAUAUGAAAUUUAAAAACUUUCAGUUAUUGUCAUUUUAAAUUCAAAAAUUUCCAUUUGCUUCAUGUCUUCAGUGGUUUUGCUGGGGUUUUUCAUUUGUUUCAAGCAUGUUUGUCUUUGGUUAUUGAAUUUUUAUGAUGCCUUCUUUAAAAUCUUUGUCAGAUAAUUCCAACACAUGUUUCAUUUGGUUCAGAUAUGAUAAGUGAUUUUUUUUUUUUUUUUUUGAGACACAAUCUCGCUCUUGUCGCCCAGGCUGGAGUGCAGUGUUAUGAUCUCGGUUCACUGCAACCUUCGCCUCCCGGGUUCAAGCUAUUCUCUUGCCUCAGCUUCCUGAGUAGCUAGGACUACAGGCUCCCACCACCACACCUGGCUAAAUUUUGUACUUUUAGUAAAGACGGGGUUUUGUCAUGUUGGCCAGGCUGGUCUGGAACUCCUGACCUCAGGUGAUCCACCCGCCUCAGCCUCCCAAAGUGCUAGGAUUACAGGCGUGAGGUAUUGUGCCCGGCCUUUUUUUCUUUUUUUUUGGCAGAGUCUCACUCUGUCUCCCAGACUGGAGUGCAGUGGCAUGAUCUCGACUCACUGCAACCUCCACCUCCCGGGUUCAAGUGAUUCUCCUGCCUUAGCCUCCUGAGUAGCUGGGAUUACAGGCAUCCAACACCACGCCCAGCUAAUUUUUGUAUUUUUAGUAGAGAUGAGGUUCAGCUAUGUUGGUCACGAUCUCCUGACCUCAGGUGAUCCGCUUACCUUGGCCUCCCAAGGUGCUGGGAUUACAGGCAGGAGCCACUGCCCACAGAUGGUGAGUGAUUUUUUUUAUUGUGUCUUGAAGGUUUAGGGUGUUAUGUUAGGAGGCUCUCAAUCUAAUUUAAAUAUUCUUUACCCAAUGUCACAGUGGUGGGAAAAGGGAGUUGCGACCUCAUUACCAUGGGUGGAGGCAGAAAUCCAGGCUCCCCUCUCAGCCCCCACCAAUACCACAGAGAGGGUGGAGAGGACAGGAACAAACAAUUCAUUCUCACCUGGCAGGGCUGGAAGUUCAGUCUCCACCCAACCUCUACUGACACUGUGGAGAAAGGGAAGUGCCCUACACUUCCAAGAGCAGGGGGAGGAGUUUCAGUUUCCCCAUUCAACCUUUUUUAACACAGAGAGGAACCUGGGGAAAAACUAAGUACAAAUUUCUUUUUUCGCUGGGGUGGGGCAUAGAGGCUCAUGCCUGUAAUCCCAGCACAUUAGGAAGCCAAGGUGGGAGGACUGCUUGAGCCCAAGAGUUUAAAACAAGCCUGGACAGCUGGGCGCGGUGGCUCACGCCUGUAAUCCCAACACUUUGGGAGGCUGAGGCGGGUGGAUCACAAGGUCAGGAGAUCGAGACCAUCCUGGCUAACACGGUGAAACCCCGUCUCUACUAAAAAUACAAAAAAAUCAGCUGGGCAUGGUGGCACGCACCUUUAGUCCCAGCUACUUGGGAGGCUGAGGCAGGAAAAUCACUUGAACCCAGGAGGCGGAGGUUGCAGUGAGCCAAGAUCACACCACUGCACUCCAGCCUGGGUGACAGAGCAAGACUCCAUCUCAAAAAAAAAAAAAAAAGACCAGCCAGGACAACAUAGUGAGAUUCUGUCUCUAUAAAAAAUUUAAAACUUAGCUGGGUACAGUGGCACACACAUGUAGUCCCAGCUACUCAGGUGGCUGAGACAGGAGGCUAGCUUGAGCCCAGGAGGUCCAGGCUGCAGUAACUCAUGUUCCCACCACUGCACUCCACAGCCUGGGUUACGGAGCCAGACCCUAU